rnacentral:rRNA from 1 species
GAUGAACGCUGGCGGCGUGCCUAAUACAUGCAAGUCGAGCGAACGGACGAGAAGCCUGCUUCUCUGAUGUUAGCGGCGGACGGGUGAGUAACACGUGGAUAACCUACCUAUAAGACUGGGAUAACUUCGGGAAACCGGAGCUAAUACCGGAUAAUAUUUUGAACCGCAUGGUUCAAAAGUGAGAGACGGUCUUGCUGUCACUUAUAGAUGGAUCCGCGCUGCAUUAGCUAGUUGGUAAGGUAACGGCUUACCAAGGCAACGAUGCAUAGCCGACCUGAGAGGGUGAUCGGCCACACUGGAACUGAGACACGGUCCAGACUCCUACGGGAGGCAGCAGUAGGGAAUCUUCCGCAAUGGGCGAAAGCCUGACGGAGCAACGCCGCGUGAGUGAUGAAGGUCUUCGGAUCGUAAAACUCUGUUAUUAGGGAAGAACAUAUGUGUAAGUAACUGUGCACAUCUUGACGGUACCUAAUCAGAAAGCCACGGCUAACUACGUG